UACUUCGACUCUGAUGUCUAUGCCUGAUAGACUAAGUAGGCCCAGGAUGCGAUAUCCUGCCGAGUCAGUCUCUUUUGUUUUCUUGUGUCUCUUUCAGCCAGUGUGUGUGUGUGUGUGAGCAGUGUUUUUAGCAACCAUUCUCCUUUCUAUUGUGUGUGGAUCCCGUCGAGUACGACGGAUGCGUAGGGGUGCUAAUACCUUCCCUUCGCAUAACC
rnacentral:lncRNA from 1 species